rnacentral:tRNA from 1 species
ACCGGGGUGGCGCAGCGGGAGCGCGCGGGACUCAUAAUCCCGAGGACGUUGGUUCGAACCCAACCUCCGGUA